GUUCUUGUAGCUUCAGGUCAUUCGGAGAAGUCUUGGGAAAAAUCUGGAUUUUGACAAACAAAUGCCCCCAGAGGCUUCGUUGUUUUGGAAUUUAUGGCUUGAUUCAGAAGCAGAGCGUUGCUAUAGAAAAUUUAAAACUUAUCAUUGGCUUAUGGAAGCUGGUGUGGAUGUAAAUUGCAAAAAUGUCGCGGUAUUUCCCUCUGCCUUAAAAUACUAUAGCUAACAACAUUAUAUAUCUUUCUCGGAAAUUGUUCAGAUUGACUUAUUUGAACUUAUUAUUGACGAAAGCAUUUAUGAGACUGUUAAGACAACUUAUGAAAACAACUUAUGACAUUCUAACAUAUUGAGUGAUGCGUCAAUUGUUUCUUUCUAUUUUCAGGAAUUGUGGAGGUGACACUUGACAGUGCUUAGUAGUUUGUAGAUUUGUGAAGAUACAUAAUAGAAGCUGUACACAUCGGAGAUAUCAUACAUAUUCACGAUCGACUAAAUCUUGGAUGAAUUUCGACUUGUACAACAGUGACUGUUGCAUGUGAAUCCGAAGGAUCUGGACUGCGACGAAGAGGAAGACAACAUUGUACUACGGUGUCGGUUAAUUUAUUUUCUUCUUCUGGUUUGUCUUAAAUUUGGCAAAAACAUCAAAUAUGUAUAAGCAACUAACCAAGUCUAACUAUUUAAAUGUUAAUUCUUGUGUUGGAAGAUGGUUAUUUCUGUUGUUUAUCUCAUGAGGUAUGAGAAAAAGAAAAAUAGGAAAUGAAUUUUCUCACUUGAUUUAAUAAUAUGAAGUGACGUUAGAACAACUUGGGAAUAGAAAGGUGUCAUUUUGCUGGUUAGCAACAUAUACUAAAGCAUUUGUUAUAAAUAAUAAAUGCUAAGAUUUAGCUGAAUAAGGUAAGAAGAAUUAGAUACACGAAACCUUGUCAGUAAACUGUCAUGUAUCAUCUUUUAUCAUUAGUUUGAAGCCUACUCCUCCAUUGAAAGCCAAAUAAAUUCUCUAUAUAUUAAGUAAUUUAAAAAAAAAAUGUAUUUAGUGACCUAAAUAUUUAGGUGUGAUUAUAUUAGCUGCCUUAGUCACAUAGUCAUAAAAACUAGUUACCGACAGAUAUUUGAACCAUAUGUUAAGUUUAUACAUAGGAAACUGAUUUUAUGUUUGUUAAAGAGCGUCAACAUUAGACUGUGAAUAACAUAUAAGUGAGAGAGACAUUACAUAUUCAUCAAAAAUCUUAAGGUGAUAGGUGUGUGUGAGUUCUCCUAUUUAUAAAUGUUAAAGUUUCCACAUUUAUAAUCAUGUGGAACUUCAACUCACAUUUAAUUUAUUAUUCAUAAAAAAAAAUUAUUUUUAAACUUUACCGCAUCUUAUCAUAUCUAAUGUACAUCAAAAGAUCAUUAUUUAAGUUUUUUAUAUGGAUUUUUAAUCAUCCAUCUUCGUAACGAUGUUUUCAUUUUGGUAAAUUUAUUUUGUCAAAUUUAAGUAUAUAGAAUAGAUUAAAAACCUCAAUAUUAUCUUCUAGAAAAAUCAUGUUGGAGGUUUCGAAGAGGGUCUGUGGUUUAGGAGUUGAUGUAUAAAUAUGGUAGUGUGAAAGAUGAGGGGCAAGAUGGUGGGAGAAAUGCAUCAGGAUAGUGGAAAGAUUUGAUUUUUAUUUGGGAGAAGUAGUUGUGUCUAGGAAUAAGUGGUUAGAAGAGAAGGUGGAGAAGAACAAAAGGACUUACUUUUAGUACGAUCCUUAAAUAGAUGGAAUAUUAUUGAGAAAUAAAUUCAUUAGGAUGCAUGGAUUUUUUUCAUGUUAAAGAGGCGUUUGUGCAGAUGCAAGUGGGAGUUGAAUGAUGUUUUUUUAGGUAGAGACACACUCUAUUUGCAUGAGAGGUAGAAUUACUUUUAAAUUUUUAUACUCUCUUUGGAGAUUUUUUUUAUUUUGCAAAGAUAUUAAUGUAGACGAACGGAUAUAAUUGUUUAACUUGGAUGAUGAAUAUCAUGUCAAAGACAUUUAUCAAGUGCUUAUUCUGGAUUUGGAGGUUGAUUCUAGAGUCUCAGACAGUGUUUGGAACGAGUUAGUACCGUUGAACGUUUAUUGUUUUGCAUGGAGAAUUAAACUUAUGAAGAAAGACAAUUUGAACUCACAUGACAUCAUUAACAACAAUUAUUUAAGAUGCUUCCGAGGUUUUGGAGAUUCACAAAUGCCUUCAUGUCCUUUGGUUGACGAGUGCUUGAAUUUUAUGGAAAGAACGAAAUAAAAGGUUAUUUGGUGAGAAGGAAUUAUCAGUUUUAGAAAUUUUAGAUCAAAUAAAAAUUAUGGCUUGGUUGUGGCUCUAGUAAAGAAAGAAAAACUUUCAACAUGUCUUAAAUCUUUGGUGGUUCAACUCAUUAAGUUGCUUAUGGUGCAUCUGGGUUGGCAAAAUGGCCCAAGUUCACUUAAUAUGCAUGUUUUCCCUGCACUUUAGUGCGGGGCAGACCAUGGAUUUAGGCAUGCACUCUCUAAUAUGUCUGACCAACCUCACCCUAUUUUUUUUGAAGGCACGUGCAUUAACAUUUUUUUUUGUACUUUUAGGCUUAAAAGAUGUCAUGCUUGCGGGCCCCUCCGCUCCAAUUCAUUUUUUUGGAAUAGACUAAUGUUUUAAACCCACACCCUCAAGUAUGUUUUUUUCCAGACUUUUGCAAGACAUGUUUAAACUAAGCGGACAUGUUCGUUUGCCAUCAACUUUUAACAUCUUAUAUUUGUUUCUUUCCUCUGGGUAAUACAUGUUUUAAUCCCUUAAUUUAAUUUAAUAUUCCGUUUUAGUCUCUUAACUAAAAAAUGUUACAAGUUAAUCCCUUAAUCUCACUCCCGUUUUUCUAUUUGGAUCCUUCCGUCAAUUUUUUGUCAAAAAACAUUGAGUUAUGGUAACAUGGCGUGAUAAUAAGGUCAUUGGUACAAAUCUGAGUCAACAUAUAUAGUUAAAAAUCGAUACACUGUUUAAAUUAUAUAUUUGGUCAUUUUCGUCAAUUUUUGGAAAAAAAAAUUAAGUUAUGGUGACACGACAUGAUAAUAAGGCUAUUGAUACAAAUCUGAGUCAGCAUAUGUAGUUAAAAACUGGUACAUUAUUUAAACUCCGAAAAUAAAACCCUUGCAAUCUAAACAGUGUAUCAGUUUUUAACUACAUAUAUUCUUAUAUUUGUACCAAUAACCUUGUUAUCACAUCCUCGUAACUAAAUGUUUUUUUGGCAAAAAUUUGACAGAAGUGAUCAAAUAAGGUAACACAACUAAAAUUAAAGAACUAAUUUGUAAUGUUUUUUUAGUUAUGAGAUCAAAACAAAUUAUUAAAUUAAGUUAAAAGACUUAACGAUUAAUUAUGCAUUCUUAUUAAUAACAUUUACCAAUUAUGUCUAAUUUGACUUAAAUUAAACUCUAAAAUUUCGUAAUUAGUUGAUUGUUUCUUAAUUUUAUUUUUCAUAAAAAAUAUUUAAAUAUUUAAAACAAUAAAUAUUUAUUUAUUUUUUAAUCAAAUAAUUUAUUGACAAGAAUCACAAGAAAGAGUUUGAUAUUGUGAUUCUCAAUUGUGACUCUACACAUAAAAAAUGUGCCAAAAACUAGCUGUAUUUAAAUGCUAUUUUAGUAAAUAUAUUUUUAACGUAUCAAUUUAGCAGUAUUUUUGUUUUCNAUUUAUUCUAAUUUUUUCAUUUACAAUUUAAUCCUUUGAUAAAUAAAUAAAUAAAAACCAGCAACCUUUUAAUAAAACUAUCAUAUUUUUCUUCAUUGAAAAGCGUCACAAUUACAAUAUGUUGAAAUAUUAGUUUGGUUAAAGAUUUUUGGUCAGUGGUCGUAAACUUGUAGUUGAAGCGUUGUUGUUAGUUAAAAGACGUACACAUCCCAACCAAAUCCUUCCUUAUACUUCCCGCAAUAAAUUCAAAUCUUUAAAACAAAACAACAAAACACACACGUUGUUGCUUCAGAUCUCUGACUGUGUCUUUGUGUGUGAGCUAAACAAUGAAUGAAUGACACCAACCACUUAACCUCUGAAAAUGAACCCACCAUACACUACAAUCAACUUCACCAAUAUUAUAAUUCAAACUUGACUCAAUGCUCUUUUAUAUAAAACCAUGAAAGAGUUUUUAGAUUCAGAAAUUGAGAAGUUGAGAACAUAGAAAAUGAUGGAAUCUGGUGUUAGUUUCUGUAACUCUUGUGGUGAACAAGUUGGAGUUGAUGCUAAUGGUGAAGCGUUUGUGGCUUGUCAUGAAUGCUUUUUCCCGAUUUGUAAGGCUUGUGUUGAUUAUGAAAUCAGCGAGGGACGUAGCGUUUGUUUGAGAUGCGGUAAUCCAUAUGCUGCUGGUAUGGUAACACUAGUCCAAAUCCAAUAUCAAAUUGUUCAUCAAAAUACUCUCUGCGUCUCGUAAUAAGUGUCGUAAUAAGGUUCACCAUUUGAGUUUUUGUGUGAAAUAUCUUGAAGUUUGUUUCCUUUUGCAUGUUUUGUAGAUAAAAUAAGAGGUAAGGAUGCUACUAAAGUUCCUGGAAAUCAAUCAACAAUGGCUGCACAAAUAAGUACUUCUCAGGUAGUGAAUUUACGUUUAACAUUACAAUUAGCUUUAGUUUUUGAGGUUUGGAUUCUCUAUCGUCGCGGUUUUGCACUAACGAACUCUGCCUGUAUUAUGUAGGAUGUUGGACUCCAUGCUAGGCAUAUCAGUACUGUGUCAACAGUGGAUAGUGGUAAAGAAGAAUGACUUUAUAGCUUAAAUUUCUUGUAACAAUAUCUUUAGAAAUGGAUUCUGAUCAUUAUAACUUAAACUUGGUUUGUUUUGUAGAAUUAAACGAUGAAUCCGGGAAUCCUAUUUGGAAAAAUAGAGUGGAAAGUUGGAAGGAAAAGGAUAAAAAGAACAAGAAAAAAAAGACAGCUCCUAAGGCUGAAAAUGAGGCUCCUGUUCCACAAGAACAGCAAAUGGAAGAAAUGGAGUAAGUUCAAUGUGAAAAGGAAACAAUUUUUCUGAAGAAAAUUUUGUAAAAUGCAUACCGAAAAUGAGAUUUUGUUUUUGUAAAAUUAUUAAUUAUGCAAGACCUUAAGUAGGCUAAGUUUAAUGGUUGAUUCAUCAACUUAUUAUGGAUCAUAUUUUGCAGGCCCUCCUCAGAGGCUGCUGCGGCUGAGCCACUUUCAAUCAUUAUUCCAGUCUCGAAAUCGAAACUCGGACCAUACAGAACUGUUAUAAUCAUGCGGCUUGUAAUCUUGGGUCUGUUUUUCCAUUAUCGAGUUACACAUCCGGUUGAUAGUGCUUUUGGUCUGUGGUUGACAUCUAUCAUCUGUGAGAUCUGGUUUGCGUUUUCCUGGGUGUUGGAUCAGUUCCCUAAAUGGUCUCCUAUCAAUAGGGUUGCUUAUACUGAUAGGCUAUCCGCGAGGUUUGAAAGAGAGGGCGAACCUUCUCAGCUUGCUGCGGUGGAUUUCUUUGUUAGUACGGUGGAUCCGUUGAAAGAACCGCCGCUCAUCACAGCUAACACAGUUCUUUCUAUCCUCGCCGUGGACUAUCCUGUGGAUAAAGUAUCAUGUUAUGUAUCAGAUGAUGGUGCGGCAAUGCUUUCAUUUGAGUCCCUUGUGGAGACAGCUGAUUUUGCAAGGAAGUGGGUUCCAUUUUGCAAAAAGUUUUCGAUCGAACCACGUGCUCCUGAGUUUUACUUCUCUCAGAAGAUUGAUUACUUGAAGGACAAGGUUCAGCCUUCUUUUGUGAAGGAACGCAGAGCAAUGAAAGUAAGCAACUGAACUUAAAAAGUCUUUUCCACAGUACUGAAUUGUAUGAUCAUAAAUACAAUUGUAUAAAUAUUGUGACACUCUCUUAACGACUGUCUUUCAUUUCGGUUAGAGAGACUACGAAGAGUACAAAGUCCGAAUUAAUGCUUUGGUUGCAAAGGCUCAGAAAACACCAGAUGAAGGGUGGACUAUGCAAGACGGAACCUCUUGGCCAGGAAAUAAUUCGCGCGAUCAUCCUGGCAUGAUUCAGGUACAUCCGUUCACUUUGUGUGUGAUCAAAUCUCAACGAUGAAAGGCAUACUCACAUUCUGUUUAUCCUUAUUAGGUUUUUCUUGGACACAGUGGUGCCCAUGACAUAGAAGGAAAUGAACUUCCAAGGUUGGUUUAUGUUUCCAGAGAAAAAAGGCCAGGUUACACCCACCACAAAAAGGCUGGUGCUGAAAAUGCACUGGUAAGAUCAAUAGAUACUUAAGAUUAACAAUUUAUAUAAGCUCAUCAAGAUUUUGUUGUCUUAAUGCUUAUUUUGGUUAAUAUAGGUGAGAGUGUCUGCAGUUCUCACAAAUGCUCCCUACAUUCUCAAUCUUGAUUGUGAUCAUUAUGUUAACAAUAGCAAGGCUGUUCGAGAAGCGAUGUGUUUUCUGAUGGAUCCAGUAGUCGGUAGAGAUCUUUGUUAUGUGCAGUUCCCCCAGAGAUUUGAUGGUAUUGAUCGCAGUGAUCGAUAUGCCAAUCGCAACACAGUUUUCUUUGAUGUAAGUUUAAAUGAAAAUGAAGAGUUUUACAAUUAUGAGGUGAAAAUCAUGGACACAAUUCUUUAUGAAAUUCCUAACCUUGAUCUCUUUCAGGUUAACAUGAAAGGACUUGAUGGAAUUCAAGGACCUGUGUAUGUAGGGACUGGGUGUGUUUUCAACCGACAAGCGCUUUACGGAUACAGUCCACCUUCUAUGCCAAAUUUACCAAAAUCUUCAUCGUCGUGUUGUUGCUGCCCUUCAAAGAAGCCUACUAAAGAUGCCUCAGAGCUUUAUAAAGAUGCAAAGAGGGAAGAGCUUGAUGCUGCCAUUUUUAAUCUCAGGGAGAUUGAGAGUAAGCACAGUAGUUUUUUUGUCAAACAGUUUUACUUGAAUAUAAAACCAGACUCCUAAAAAAGGAAUGUGUUUUGCUUUCUUUUCUUUCUCCUGCAGAUUAUGACGAGUAUGAGAGAUCGAUGCUUAUUUCACAACUUAGCUUUGAAAAAACAUUUGGUUUGUCCACUGUUUUCAUUGAAUCAACAUUAAUGGAGAAUGGUGGUGUGUCUGAAUCUGCUGAUCCCUCAAUGCUGAUCAAGGAGGCCAUUCAUGUAAUUGGCUGCGGCUACGAAGAAAAGACAGCAUGGGGAAAAGAGGUUAGACAUUCAUGUUUUUGUAUAUACAUUUUCCGUUCCUUUUUAAGUGUCUUGCAAGAUUACUUGUAGCUUAAGCAAUCGAAUGCUUUCUUGUGUAUUCAGAUUGGUUGGAUAUAUGGUUCGGUUACAGAGGAUAUCUUAACGGGGUUCAAGAUGCAAUGUCGUGGAUGGAGAUCAGUUUACUGCAUGCCCUUAAGGCCUGCAUUCAAAGGAUCUGCGCCAAUCAAUCUUUCCGAUCGUUUGCAUCAAGUUCUCCGAUGGGCUCUUGGAUCAGUUGAAAUUUUCCUUAGUAGACAUUGUCCUCUCUGGUACGGUUUCGCUGGAGGUCGUCUCAAAGUUCUGCAAAGACUGGCUUAUAUCAACACCAUUGUUUACCCUUUCACAUCCCUUCCUCUCAUUGCUUAUUGUACUUUGCCUGCAAUUUGCCUGCUCACCGGAAAAUUCAUCAUUCCAACGGUAAUUUCUUCAUCUUUAUUUUGGUUUAACACACAAGAUUAUUAAUGGCACUAAGUCCUUACAUAAAAUUGUUGUUUCUAAUUUGACGCAGCUAUCAAACCUCGCAAGUGCGCUCUUUCUUGGACUCUUCAUCUCCAUUAUAUUGACAAGUGUACUCGAGCUGAGGUGGAGUGGUGUUACUAUAGAAGAUUUAUGGCGUAACGAGCAAUUUUGGGUUAUUGGAGGUGUUUCAGCUCAUCUUUUCGCAGUGUUCCAAGGUUUCCUAAAAAUGUUAGCAGGUGUUGAUACAAACUUCACAGUCACAGCAAAAGCUGCAGAUGAUGCAGAGUUUGGUGAACUAUAUAUGAUCAAAUGGACAACACUCUUGAUUCCGCCAACAAGCCUUAUCAUUAUUAACCUUGUUGGCGUCGUUGCUGGAUUUUCCGAUGCACUUAAUGGUGGUUAUGAAUCUUGGGGACCGCUCAUUGGAAAGGUUUUCUUUGCAUUUUGGGUGAUCUUUCAUCUUUAUCCAUUCCUUAAAGGUCUUAUGGGUCGCCAAAACCGCACUCCAACCGUUGUUAUUCUUUGGUCAGUGUUGUUGGCUUCUGUCUUUUCACUUGUUUGGGUUCAGAUCAAUCCAUUUGUAAGCAAAGUUGAUAGUGCAGCUAUCUCUCAGACUUGCAUUUCUAUUGAUUGUUAAGUCUCACAUUAUCAACAAUGUUGCUUGCUAUACAAGUUUUGAUCAUAUGUUAAAGAUAUGGAUUACAUAUGAUGAUGAUGAUUCAAUAUGCAAGGUGUGCAAGUCAUUAGCACUAGUUUUUUGUUGAAAUGUGUAAGCAUUAAGGUUGUGAACUUGUUUUCCAUGGUUUGGACAAUUUUUAUGUGUAAAGAGACCAAUAAUUUACGGGUUAUAGAUAUCAAUGUAAAAGUAGUGUUUUUUUCUUCUUCUCUUUCUUUUGAUCUAGAAAUGAAAUAAUAGUGAGAAAAUAGAUCUUUGUCAUACUUAUGUUAUCUGCUUGUGUUAUAGGAAUUUGCAAUUAUAGUAGUUUACUUAAAUGUUUCACUUUUCAUAUAACACCAUAAUAAAUUUAGAAAUUUAUUGUAAUCUUAUUCGGUUAGAAAAAUUAAUCUCUAUGUGUAGAAAAUAUUCAAUUUAAAACAAUAUGUGAUAAUGUUAAAGUUUGUUUUAGAAAAAUUAACAAUUCAUCUUUUUUUGCUACUAUCUCACUCACGAGGUGCUCAGCAGGGGUCGCGAGGCAGGUGGACGAUGAGAACUAAGGUAUUUUGAUUCUGACUCAUUUGCGAGACGAAUGAAGUAAGACACUAGGUGGUUGGGCGGAAACGUUCGCAAAUGUGAAACAUGCACAUCAAUUCUCGUGUCAUAGUUAAGGUAUUUUAUGUCAUUUUUGUUGAAUAAAAGAGUUUCUAAAGAGAGAAGUUUAGAAAGGCAAGAAGAGAAUUCUUAUGAUUUUUCAUUCUAAGGAUUUGAUUGAUCUUUGAUUGUAAUAUUUGAAUUGGGAAAGACUUCUCAAUACUUUGAGAUUGAGUGAUUCAUAUAUUGAGACGAUGAUAGAUUAAUGUCUCAAAUGGAUAAAAAUUAAAAAGCGUUCUUAUGAAUUCAUGAGGCAAUUUAUUAUAACUGAUUUAUAAUAUAUUGAUUAAGACUUUUGAUUGAGAGUGGAUCAGAAAAUUGUUAUCCCCCUAUAAUAAAUCAAUUUGAAUUGAACAUGAAGUGUUUUUAUAAACCAUUUUUUAUGUGUUGAUUCUCUACUUUUAUCUUUGUUUUUACAGGAAUUGAGAUUGUCUUACUCAAAUCGUUGUUUGAUUAUUGAUAUUUUCUUGGUAAAAUCUUUGUUUGAUUUUUGAGAUCAGACAGUAAAAUCUCUCUUUGGUUCGUGAGCUCAUCUGUCAAAAGCUCCAUCAAAAUCUUCCAUCUUCGUAAUAAGGUUCAUGGGCAUAUCCAUAAAAGCUCAAGACUUUAGUUUAGUGUAAUUCUUAACAAGAAAUUCUUGGAGAGAGGAGUAUGUCAAGUUGUAGGCCAAACCUCUAUAAAUCAUGCUCCAAUAUCUCCAUUCCUAUCUCUUUUAUCUCUGCCGACUUAUUUUCUUUUCUUCUAUUUUCCGUUGUGCUAUUUCUGUACUAACAUAAAUUAUUUUCAAAGAAAAAGAUGUUUUUUUUUUAAAUUAAUCAUGAUUUCAGCAUUUCACAAUUCACCAUCUAUUAUAUUUGGAGUUACUUAUUCAACAAGUGGCAUUAGAGUCUAACUCAUGUUUAAAACUAAACGUACUAGUAGGAAGGAAAUAACUUCAAACAAUUCAUUUGACAAACCACCGUCGUCCUUUAAUAUAGAAGGAUAUGUUUUGUAGAAAGUGAAGAUGAAAAUCUUCAUUGAAGGGAUGAAUUUUGAAAUGUGGAAGACUGUGAAAAAUGGUCAAUUUGUUCCAACACAUGAAAUCAAUAAUAUUGUGGUAAGCAAAAGAAAUAUGAUGAGUUUCUGCGUAUUUCACACCGCGAGACUGCUAAAGAAAUGUGGGACAUCCUCUAAGUUACCCAUGAAGGUACUACCGUGGUAAAAAAAAAUGCAAGGAUGAACAUAUUGACUCAUGAAUACAAACUCUUUAGGAUGAAGCAUUGAGAAAAUAUUUAUUGAUAUUAAAAAAUACUUUAUCCAUAUAGUUAACCACAUGAGAACCCUUGAAAAAGUUUUUCAAAACGAGGACUUAGUUGUAAAAGUCCUUAGAUGCCUAAGUUGGAGUUGGAAACCUAAAGUCAUUUGGGUUUAUGAAUCUAGGAAUUUGUCAUCCAUGGACGUGGCUACUCUCUUCCGUAAAUUGUAGGAACAUAAAAAGAAGACCUUGGCGUUCAAGACUGGAGAAAAAGACUCUGACUCGAGUGAUGAGGAAAUUACACUAAUCAUUCAUAAUUUCAGUAGGUUCAUCAAAUGAGAAAAACAACAAGAGGAGAAAAAGAACGAAGGAAGAUCAUUCUUUACUCCGAUAUGCUUCCUAUGUGAAAAGAAAGGGCAUAUAAGACCAAACUUCCCUUAAAAUGAAAAGAUGAAUCAGAGUCUAGAAAAGUUUAAGAAACCUCAGAAGCAUAAAAAGAAAGCUUACAUUUUCUGGGAUGAAAAUGACAUGGACUACUCAGAUGAAGAAGAAGCCAAUAUAUGUAUUAUGGCAGAUCAUGAAGAUCACGAGGUAACUUUUCACUUUUCUUAUCAUGAUUUUUUUCAUAUUUGUAAGCAGUUAAAUAAAGAAACAAGUAAGUUGAAACAAGAUUACUCUAAUUUAAAUGUUUUUAGAGAUUUGGAAUUUGUACAUAUAAAAUAAGAUAAGCUUGAUGCUAGAGCUCUGGACUGUGUUUUUAUUGGUUAUCCUGAAGGUGCAAAUGGAUAAAAGUUAUGGAAGAUUGGCCUUGGAGGAUCAAAUUUUAUUAUAAGUAGAGAUGAUACUUUUGAUGAGAACAAUGUGAGGAUGAUUUGGAAAAAUGUAGAAGUGAAAGACUUAGAAACUAAGAAGACCCAAUUUAAGGUGGAGGUCCAUACUUGUGAGACUAGAGACGUAGAUGAUGUUUCUCACUUACAGUUCUAGAGAAGUUCAACCUACAUUGGAUCCAUACUAUUUAUUGACUCGUGAUAGAAAAAGGAAGAUGAUUAUACAACCUCGAAGGUAUGACUAUGUUGAUCUUAUUUUUUAUGCCUUAAAUAUGGAUGAAAUGUUGCAAGACUCUGGUUGAAGGAUGAAUUUAAAAUUAAAUAGAUUCAUAAAUGGUUGAAGGAACUAAAUGAUUAAAUUUAUUCAUUAGAUAAGAACCGUAUUUAGGAAUUUAUGAGACCCCCUGAAAGGAAAAUAUAUUUCAUCGAAAACAUGCUUUGCUAUCUUCACUAAGAUAUUUCAAAUAUUUAUGAUAUUUCAGAUGAAAUAUCUUGUGAGACUACCUAAAAGGCAAAGAUAUUGCAUCCCAAACAUGCAUUGUUAGCUGAGAUGAAAUAUCUCGGUGAAUCUAAAAGGAUCAUCCCAAACGUGCCUAACCAUAAUUGGUUCUCCAUUCAAAAUGUUUGUUUAAGUUCAAGUUCUUCGAUGUGAUUUUUGUGGAGGGGGUCAUGCAAAUGACCAAUAUGUUCCUGAAGGUAGACAUGAAGAGGAAUCCUACUAUAUGAGAAAUUUCAAAAGAGACAAUUUGUACUCCAACACCUAUAAUCCAAGGUGAAAAGAUCAUUCAAACUUUAUGUGAAACAACAAUCAAGGUCAAAACUCAAAUAAAAGAGCACAAAAAAUCAACACUGUCAAAAUCACCACACUCAAAAUCAACAAUUGAGAAAACCAUUUGCGUUAGAAAAAACCCUCACUCAAUUUAUGAAAGUGACUCAAAUAAAUUUAAAAUCUACUAAGAAUAGUAUAUAAGUUAUCAAGAUAAAUUAAGAAACAACUCAUAAGAGCACUAUAGUUUUCUUUAGAAACUUGGAAACUUAAAUGGGGAAAAUGUCAAGACAUGUAACCUCUCAGUCCAAUGGAGAAUUGACUAGAAAUAGUGUUGAUAAUCCAAAGAAUGAAAAUUUUCAUGUUAUUGAUUUAAGAAGUAGAAGGAUACCCACAUUAUUUGGUACUAAGGUCUAGAAGAAGAAAUUAUCCAAAAAAAUUAAGAAAGAUAAGGAAUGGCGUAAUUGAAAAUGUGAGUGAAGAAAAAAUUGAGGAAAAUAAAUGAAGCGAGAAUGAGAGUGAAAGUAAAUUGAAAAAGAAAAGAAUGAAUUAAGUGAGAACAAUGAGGUGAAGAAAAAGAAGAAUGUAGAGAAAAUCGUGAUUGUGGAGAGAAAAAUAAAGAAAAAGAAACUUCUCAUUAUGCUAAGUUGUCAUGCCCUCACUUAAAAAAAAAAGGAAAAUUUAGAAAAUUCGGGGAGAUGCUUACAAAAUUGUAGGUCAAACAUGUCUUUUAUUAUAGUCCUAAAAUAAAUGUCAGUAUAUUCCAAGUUUAUUAGGUAUUUGAGACAAAAAAAGAGAAAGCUACUUGACGAUGACAAUGUGGUGAUAUAAAAAAAAAAUAUUCUCAUCAUCCAAAUAAAGCUUAGGAGUAAAAUAUAAUUGGAGAUAAAAUAUUUUGGUGAAGAUAAGAGGAUCCUAGGGAUGUACAUCAUGAGAAACCGUGAAAAAUAUGAAUUGUUCUUAUCUCAAUCCAAUUAAAAAUAAAAUCAACAAUCCAUUGCGACAUUAUCUAGAACUCAAGGAGAGUACAUUACCCUAAUGAAACCAUUUGGUCAAAAGGUAUGAUUAGAGAAUUAUGAAUCACUAAAAAAUGUGUGAAGAUUCAUUGUGAUAAUUAAAUUGCAUCCAUUUGGCUAAUUAUUAAAUGUAUCAUGAAAGGACAAAGAACAAUGACAUUCAUUUGGGACAUGAUUGAGUUAAAGGAGUUUGUGAGGAAAAAGUUUGCUCCAGAAGAUAAUCUAUAUGGCAUGUUCACCAAUUCAUUACAUAGAUCAAAGUUUAAGCAUUGGUUGAACUUGAUCAAUUUUGUCGAAGAGAGAUUCAAGCUUAAAAAGAACAUCAAAGUGGUUGAUAGAUAAAUUGACAUCACUAUUAUUUUAAAGGCAAGGAGGAGAUUUGUGAAAGUUUGCCUUAGAAAACUCAACGAUUCAUUUUUUUCUCUCAUACCUUACCCGUAAGUCGUUUGUUUGGACAAAAACAUUGACAAACAUAAGUCAAGUGACAUCAAACAUGAGAUAGAUAUUUCGAUUCUUGUGUCUAAAUAUAUUUUAUAUAGUAUCAAAUAAAUUUAUCCGUAUUAAGGCACGAGUAUUUAACAUAAUAUUUUAUAUUUGGAUCCAAAUGGAAUAUUUUAUUAAACUAUAAUUUUCUAAUAUUUUAACAAGUAAAUUUUUCUGCACCCCCAAAACCCCCAAAAAAGGAAAAUUUUCUCAUAGUAUUUAAAUCAUGAUAUUUUGUUAUUGAUAAAUAUGAUGCCUGCUGUCCUUCCAUUUGCAUGUGCACCCCCAUGUACAACUUAAUCACCAGUAACAUUUAAAAAUAUUUUAUUUCCUUCCCAUCGUUUGUAAAUAAACAAGAGUGUUUUUAUCCUCCUCAAUUUCCAACCGUUAUUAUCAUUCUCUAGAAAAAGAAAAUACUAAAAUGAAAUGUCCAAUUCUGUAAAUAUCUCCAAAUCAAAUGGAACAAACAAGUUCUCUUCCAAUCCCCAACUGUGACCAGGUCACUCCUAUGAUACAUACUUAAUUAGUAACAACAAACCCAACACAGUACAACAUUAAUCAACCUCAUUUCACUUCUCAAUCUCAAACACAUUCCUAGAUUCAUUUGUUUUCAUCUCACAAACAACAAACACAUGUUCAUGUUUCUUAACCAUGAAACCACUUCUCUUCAUUCUCUCCCUCUUCCUCUUCUCCACAACCACCAUUACAACCUCAUCAUCUCCCUCUCUUCCUCUCCCACCAACCCCUUCUCCCACAUCAUCACCACCUUCAACCCCUUCAUCAAAAUCCACUCUUGACCCUAAACAAAUCACAGCCCUACAAUCCCUCAACAUCCCAACCUCAAAAGACCCAUGUUCUCAACCUUCCUUCCACAAUGCAACCCUCUGUGACUCCUCCAAACCCUUCCGCCACCUCAUCUCCCUAACCCUCUCCAACUGUUCCUCCUAUGUCUCUCUCUCUUUCACCGCCCUCAAAUCACUCUCUACUCUCACCUCUCUCAACCUCAUCAACUGUCCCAUUUCACCUAUCCACUUCCCUCCCCAACUAAUUUCAUCUCUCAGAACAUUCA
rnacentral:lncRNA from 1 species